CUCAGUAUGAAAGAUCUAUUUUACCCAGUGUGUGUUAAUAGUCUGCAGAGUGAAGAAGUUGUGCGGGAUAAGUCCCGUUGUCCAUCUGUUGGAUGGGAGAACUAGUGGCCGCUUCCAGUCUGUCUUUAGUCACCAGCUGCUGAAUACAUGGCUGUCACCAAGCCAGCCACACUUUAAAGGGUGGAAACAAUCUAUCUUGCAAAGCGAUCAUUUAAAGCACUUAAG